rnacentral:rRNA from 2 species
CGAACGCUGGCGGCAGGCUUAACACAUGCAAGUCGAGCGCCCCGCAAGGGGAGCGGCAGACGGGUGAGUAACGCGUGGGAACGUACCUUUUGCUACGGAAUAACUCAGGGAAACUUGUGCUAAUACCGUAUGUGCCCUUCGGGGGAAAGAUUUAUCGGCAAAGGAUCGGCCCGCGUUGGAUUAGCUAGUUGGUGAGGUAAAGGCUCACCAAGGCGACGAUCCAUAGCUGGUCUGAGAGGAUGAUCAGCCACACUGGGACUGAGACACGGCCCAGACUCCUACGGGAGGCAGCAGUGGGGAAUAUUGGACAAUGGGCGCAAGCCUGAUCCAGCCAUGCCGCGUGAGUGAUGAAGGCCCUAGGGUUGUAAGCUCUUUACACCGGUGAAGAUAAUGACGGUAACCGGAGAAGAAGCCCCGGCUAAUUC